GGAUGUGAGGGCAGUCUGGCUGUGACAUCUGUCACCCCAUUGAUCACCAGGAUUGAUUUGGCUAACUUUGCUACCAAGUGGUUGCCUCCUUCCUCCCUCACUGAUCCAUGUGCAUCCAUCUUGGUUGAAGGGAAUGUUCUUCCCCAAGAGAGGAAGAAGGUUCUUUGGUCAAGGCCAUAUGAGUUGCUGCACUCCACUGCUAAGAUCUCUGAACACAAUCCUGUGUCCAGGGCUCCUAAAGAAACAGGUGUUGUUCUGGCUGUAUUCUCAACCAUGUAAAUUUUUUUUAU
rnacentral:snRNA from 1 species